GUGUCCGAGGAUCGCCCCCCAUCAGCGCGUCGCGCCCAUGGGGGCGCGCGUC
rnacentral:sRNA from 1 species